GACAUGUUUGUUUUUUUGUGUGGUCUUGGGUGAGUAUGAUCUUUGUUUGAAUUUUGUGAGCACAAGUAAUGCAUCUGCUUCUUGUCUAGACAUGGAGCUGACUGGAGUUGCCCCUUAGAGGAAAGAGAGUAGAAGAGAAUAAAGUUCAAUGAGGUACAGUUCCAUGGAUUAUCUUUGUCUCCAAGUGGAGAGAGCUGGGACUGGAGCCAGAGUCCAGAGAGAAUCACUUAGCAAUGGAUUUGUGCUACUUGCAUCUAAAGGAGUCCUGUUUAAUCCUUAGUUAUUGGAGAGCCAGUGUAAAAAUUGUGCACAUGACUUAAGAAGAAAUCAUGGGCUGCUUUAUUGUUUCCUCCCCCCAAAACUUCCCUUACCUCAAACCCCAAACCCAAAAUACCAACCCACCACUAUUAAGGAAGCUGCCAAAGAAACAGGGAACUGACUGCUGCCUAACACCAGUAAGAAAACCAGAUCCAUUGACCAUAGGCAAGAUUUAUCAGCUGGAAUGGAUUUCAGAUGAUCAGAGGAAACAAUGUUGCUGCUGGAACUGUUCUAAGGAGUAAUUGAGCACAUUCCCUCUUCGCCAUGAGUGCAG